ACUACGGGUGGCAGCAGUGGGGAAUAUUGCACAAUGGGGGAAACCCUGAUGCAGCGACGCCGCGUGAGUGAUGAAGUAUUUCGGUAUGUAAAGCUCUAUCAGCAGGGAAGAUAAUGACGGUACCUGACUAAGAAGCUCCGGCUAAAUACGUGCCAGCAGCCGCGGUAAUACGUAUGGAGCAAGCGUUAUCCGGAUUUACUGGGUGUACAGGGAGCGCAGACGGCAGGGCAAGUCUUAUGUGAAAGUCCGUGGCUCAACCCCGGGACUGCAUUGGAAACUGUCCGGCUAGAGUGCAGGAGAGGUAAGUGGAAUUCCUAGUGUAGCGGUGAAAUGCGUAGAGAUUAGGAGGAACACCAGUGGCGAAGGCGGCUUACUGGACUGCCACUGACAUUGAUGCUCGAAAGUGUGGGUAUCAAACAGGAUUAGAUACCCCAGUAGUC
rnacentral:rRNA from 1 species